rnacentral:sRNA from 1 species
UAAAAGAAACUUUCUCUCAAAUAUUAUUCCGAUUUUCAAAGUCAAAAUGAAGAAGGCAGUAGACAAUUCAAUAUUUACACAAUUGCCACCUGUCCAGGCACUUUGUUCGAUUGUAUUCGCAUGCCUGAUUGCUGUCCUCCAAUAAAGAUUAAAGUUAAGCUACAAUUGGGAAAGGCCAAAGCCUUCAAACAUGAUAGUGAAGAAAACGUUAUAGAGAAUACUUUCAACCCACUCAAGUUAAAUAUUUCUAAAUUAUAAAUGCCAACAUUAGAAACUAAAGAAAGUUAUAAUCGUUGUUUUAUAUUGCGAGUGUUUUUUACAAAAAUAUAUAUAUAUUAUUAAAGUACGA